AUUGAACGCUGGCGGCAGGCCUAACACAUGCAAGUCGAACGAGUGGCGGACGGGUGAGUAAUGUCUGGACAACUGCCUGAUGGAGGGGGAUAACUACUGGAAACGGUAGCUAAUACCGCAAACCAUCGGAUGUGCCCAGAUUGGAUUAGCUAGUAGGUGGGGUAAAGGCUCACCUAGGCGACGCUCCCUAGCUGGUCCGAGAGGAUGACCGGCCACACUGGAACUGAGACACGGUCCAGACUCCUACGGGAGGCAGCAGUUGGGAAUAUUGCGCAAUGGGCGCAAGUCUGAUGCAGCCAUGCCGCGUGUAUGAAGAAGUCCUUCGGUUUGUAAAGUACUUUCAGCGGGGAGGCGUUACCCGCAGAAGAAGCACCGGCUAACUCCGUGCCAGCAGCCGCGGUAAUAC
rnacentral:rRNA from 1 species